rnacentral:rRNA from 1 species
UCGCAAAUUACCCACUCUCAGCACGAGGAGGUAGUGACGAAAAAUAACGAGACCGUUCUCUUAUGAGGCCGGUCAUCGGAAUGGGUACAAUUUAAACCCUUUAACGAGUAUCUAUGAGAGGGCAAGUCUGGUGCCAGCAGCCGCGGUAAUUCCAGCUCUCAAAGUGCAUAGAAUUAUUGCUGCGGUUAAAAAGCUCGUAGUUGGAUCUGUGCCAUAGGACGGGGUCCGGCUUCGGUCGUGUACUCCGCUCCUAGGCUUUUUGCUGGUUUUCCCGUCGUAGCCUUCACUGGUUGCGGCGGGUGGCUGGCGAGUUUACUUUGAGAAAAUCAGAGUGCUCAAUACAGGCGUAUCGCUUGAAUGAUUGUGCAUGGAAUAAUAGAAAAGGAUUUCGGUCCUCUUUUAUUGGUUUUGUGGACUGAGAUAAUGGUUAACAGGGACAAACGGGGGCAUUCGUAUCGCUGCGUGAGAGGUGAAAUUCUUGGACCGUAGCGAGACGCCCUACUGCGAAAGCAUUUGCCAAGAAUGUCUUCAUUAAUCAAGAACGAAAGUCAGAGGUUCGAAGGCGAUCAGAUACCGCCCUAGUUCUGACCGUAAACGAUUCCAACUAGCGAUCCGCCGGUGGAUUUUUAGCCCUGGUGGGUAGCUUCCCGGAAACGAAAGUCUUCCGGUUCCGGGGGAAGUAUGGUUGCAAAGCUGAAACUUAAAGGAAUUUGACGGAAUGGGCACCACCCAGGAGUGCAGCCUGCGGCUUUAUUUUGACUAA